CUGUCCUAGGUCCCUCAGGUGCAGCCACACUGAGGUGCUCUUUUUCCUUUUAAAUUCAGUUUGUUUUGGGACAAGGUCUCACUCAGUACUCCAGGCUGUCCUUGAAUCGAGGUCCUCCUGCCUCAGCCUCCUGAAUUCAGUCAAAGCCAGGCCUGGCACGGAUACCACUUCUUCGGGAGUUUCCCUGGGUCCACCGCCCUCAGCAGGGCUCCUUCAGGCGGCACACACAUCUGCGGCAGGCAUUCCACGCCGUGGGGGUCUCGAUAUGCAGUUCAGGUUCGCCUCGGACUCAUGGCGAUCUUCCUGCCUCAGCCUCCUGAGUGAUGGGAUUUCAGGCGUGCACCACCACAUCCGCUGCAGCUCACUUGGUGUCCCCAAAGCCUAAGGUUCCUGCAUGGAACCUUAGAUGGAUGGAAAGAAAGAAAGGAAGGAAGAAGGAAAGAGAGAGAGAAGGGAAGAAAGAAGGAAAGAAAGAAAGAAAACAAAACCUGUGGCUAAAUUAACCUGUUCAUUCACAAAGCCACACCAAGGCACGGGAGUGGCGGAGGUUCCGCUGCCAUGCGCCUCUCAGUCACAGCCCACAUCCCAGGCUCGGUGAAGGGAGGUAAAAUAAUGCUUCAGACUUUGCUUUUAGUUAAAAACACAGGCAAAGUUCACCGAAUUUGACUCUGUGCUAUGCCUAAAGCAAAUAGCAGCAUGUGUUCAAAGCUUGUUGUCCAGGCCGCAGUCCCUGGCUGAGUGCAGUGACUUCGGAAGCCGAGGAAUGAAGCCCAGACAAAUCCCACAGAGCACAGCCACCACUGAGGCCGGUUGGGCGUCUGGGGGGGAAAGCGCCAGCCUUCGCUGCCUCAGGGAGACGUCAGAAGAUGGAAACUCGAAUCGGAAGGGAGCCAAGGAGGAGGAGCAGGAAUUCGCUAGCGUGGAGCAGAAAUUAACGCAACGGGGAGAAACUCAGCAAAAUGACCAAGGAAACCAAAAGACUGCUGUGUUAAGCACACCAGGCUCAGAGACUUACGGGCGAUUUCUCCAAAAAAUAGAAAUGAAUUGAUGAUACCAGGUUCCUGGCCUUCGGUGGCAGCCUUUUUACUACAAGCCACAAAAACAGGAAGCCAUGAAGGAAAAGAUGCACAACACUAAAACUUACCUACGGCAAAAGACAUCAUUGACAAGAUGAAAGCCAGGCAAAGCAGCCUGCCACCCCAGCAGCGAGAAGGCUGAGGCAGGAGGAUCACCUGGAGUUUGAGGCCAGCCGGACUGUGGACUGUAUAGAGACCCAGGCUCAACAAACCAACCAACCAAGAGUUUCUUCAGCCGGACACUCAGGGUCCUGGUUGGGGUUCUGACGGGAACCUCAGGAGGAGCCCUUCCUGGCCCUGUAGCACGUUCACCCUGUCACCUGCUGCACCCAGGACGGAGCAAGAUCGCUGCCCAGACCCUCCCUGGUGGCCCUCAUCACCUGGGCCCGGGCAGCCCAGGCUGCGCUGGCCCUGGUAGAUUUCACUUCCUUUCUUUUCUUUUCUUUUCUUUUCCUUUUCUGUUUGUCUGUUUGUUCUUUGAGACAGGGUCUCACUGUGUAGCCCAGGCUGGCCUCGAACUCACAGUGGUCUUCCUGCCUCAGACAACCGACUGCUGGGCUCCAUGCUGGUGACAGAUCAGAACAAGGGCCACAGUGAUGACCACGUAAUGAGGACAAGCCGUGGCAACCGAUUUGCACACGUGUGUGCCUGCGUCCCACGGCGAGCCUGUGAGGUUUCCCACACAAGCACCAACCGUCCUGCCGCUCAGCCAACCGAGCUGUCCAGAGGGCCUGGCCUCGAACACAGGCACACUCACUCUGGUGUGUGCCAGCCCUAGGCCAGGUCAGAGCUGAGCUUCAAACUGCAGCCGCCCCGGGGGCACUGAGCUUCGGCUGGACAGCUUCCCGCUCUCCGCGCUUCAGGAGCAGAGGGAGUCGCUUCUCACAGACACGGAAAUGCAAAGAUGAGGAGCAGGGGAGGCCGUGCUGGGCCUGUGGAAGUUGAGGGAACAAAUGUGACCAAGGCAGAAGGGAGCAGACACUGAGAUAAAGAUCCCUGGAGCUGGGGUGGUAGGUGCCUGUAAUUCCAGCUACUUGGAGGCUGAGGCAGGAGGAUCUCAAAUUCCUGCCCAGCUGGGGCCACUGUCGCAAAAUAAACAUUUUUCCAAGGGGCCAGGGAUGCAGCUCAGUGGUAGAGUGCCUGCCUGGUGCAAGGCCCUGGGUUUGAUCCCCAGGACCUCAAAACAGAAAAGCAAAAUCAGAUAAGGGAUGUGGGGAAGGGGAGAGAAACGGCUUCCUGGAGAGGAGCUGGACGGGCCCCCUGCUGUUGGAGCAGAAGCUCAGCGCCAACCAGCAAGAGCUGCAGUGAGCAGAUCCACUCUGGCCUUUGGCUUUCCCUGCCCGUGAACCUGACCCAGGGACACAGCCUCAAACCCAGCAAACUGAAGCACUUGGCGCUGUGGGGCUGCGGUUAACGGCAGAGCUUGACCUUUCUCCUCCUCUGCGGGAGCCGGGGGCCGGGGGCGGAGCCACCCCAGCCCAGGCCGGCCCCAGCCAGCAUCAUCCUGUGAGAGGCCAGUUGCCUCUCUGCCGAGCACUGCGCAACUGGCUCGCGCCGGGCCAUCUGUCGGGAGAGAGGGUCAGAGGAAGGGCCGGAGACACAGGCUCGGAGCCAGGCAGCGUCUGGUUUCUGAUCAUUCACUCGGGCACCUGGGUGGAGCGGGGAGCUGCAGGAGCCCCAGCGUGGACGGGCACACGCGCCUGCGUUCCGGGAGCAGGCCCGAUCGGCACAAGCUGGAGGGGAGAAAGGGCCCUCCGCUCACCUCCCGCCCCUGCAGCUGCGCCAGCUCCUCUCCUGGUGCCCGGCUCCCCCGGCCCAGGGCUGAGAACAGACGACGCCUGCGGAGGGCGCAGGAUGGUGGCAGGGUCGCUGCCUGGUGUGGUCUCCUCCCUCCGUCAUCCCUGUUGCCACUGCGUGCUGCUCAGGGUGCUGGGCGUCCUUCUUUCAAGAGCUCCCUGUCUCACUUCAGUAAAACUGUACGUCUGCGAGGGGGAGGAGAACUGAGAAUGGAUUGCCCAGAAACUAGGGAAGCCAGGCAGGGCGUGACGCUGCACGCCUGUGAUCUCAGUACUGCGGGAGGCUGAGGCAGGAGGGUCACCGAGUCUGAGCCCAGCCCGGGCAACUUAGUGCCUUAGCAGGACCUUGUCUCACUGCUUGAGAAAGCCUGGGGAUGCAGCUCAGUGCAAAGGCCCUGGUCCGUCCUCAGUAAGGAGAGAUUGAAGUAUCUCAGUAGAAAUCAUUUGUCCACUCGCCCUCUGUCCACAGCCCACCGCUGUCACCCUGGAGACCUGCUGCCUCAGCCACUCGUCCUAACCCCUCUUCACGGGUGUUUGCUGAGCCCUGGCUCGGGGCUGCAUGUCGUGGUGGGGCACCAGGGCCUCCAGCCUCAUAGCGUGUCACGGAGCUGCACACACGCCGUGCACAAGGUGCCGCAGCAGCCUCUGUGCCUCAAGAAAGUGUUUAUAUGCCAUGGAGUACUACUCUGCCAUGAAGAAGGGAGAGCGUGGGUCAUUGGUAGGAAGAUGGGUCCACCUUGAGGCCGUCACUUAAGUGAAAUAAAUCAGACGCAGGAGCUUCAAUAUCCCAUGGUUUCUCCUGUGUGAGACACCCACAGUAUAAACGAGAGCAAAGUAAAAGAUAGACAAUCGGAA